AUUGAACGCUGGCGGCAUGCUUUACACAUGCAAGUCGAACGGUAACAGGCCUUCGGGUGCUGACGAGUGGCGAACGGGUGAGUAAUGCAUCGGAACGUGCCCAGAGGUGGGGGAUAACGCAGCGAAAGCUGUGCUAAUACCGCAUGUGAUCUGAGGAUGAAAGCGGGGGACCAGGCAGCAAUGUUUGGCCUCGCGCCUUUGGAGCGGCCGAUGUCAGAUUAGGUAGUUGGUGGGGUAAAGGCCUACCAAGCCGACGAUCUGUAGCUGGUCUGAGAGGACGACCAGCCACACUGGGACGGAGACACGGCCCAGACGCCUACGGGAGGCAGCAGUGGGGAAUUUUGGACAAUGGGCGCAAGCCUGAUCCAGCAAUGCCGCGUGCGGGAAGAAGGCCUUCGGGUUGUAAACCGCUUUUGUACGGAACGAAAAGGCUCUGGCUAAUACCUGGGGCUGAUGACGGUACCGUAAGAAUAAGCACCGGCUAACUACGUG
rnacentral:rRNA from 1 species